UACAGAGGGGGCAAGCGUUAUUCGGAAUUAUUGGGCGUAAAGGGCGCGUAGGCGGCUUUGCAAGUGACGGGUGAAAUCCCACGGCUUAACCGUGGAACUGCCUGUCAGACUGCAUGGCUUGAGACCAGGAGAGGUGAGUGGAAUUCCCAGUGUAGCGGUGAAAUGCGUAGAUAUUGGGAGGAACACCAGUGGCGAAGGCGGCUCACUGGACUGGUACUGACGCUGAGGCGCGAAAGCGUGGGAGCAAACAGG
rnacentral:rRNA from 1 species